rnacentral:rRNA from 1 species
CCUACGGGAGGCAGCAGUGAGGAAUAUUGGUCAAUGGACGAGAGUCUGAACCAGCCAAGUAGCGUGAAGGAUGACUGCCCUAUGGGUUGUAAACUUCUUUUAUAUGGGAAUAAAAUGUUCCACGUGUGGGAUUUUGUAUGUACCAUAUGAAUAAGGAUCGGCUAACUCCGUGCCAGCAGCCGCGGUAAUACGGAGGAUCCGAGCGUUGUCCGGAUUUAUUGGGUUUAAAGGGAGCGUAGGUGGAUUGUUAAGUCAGUUGUGAAAGUUUGCGGCUCAACCGUAAAAUUGCAGUUGAAACUGGCAGUCUUGAGUACAGUAGAGGUGGGCGGAAUUCGUGGUGUAGCGGUGAAAUGCUUAGAUAUCACGAAGAACUCCGAUUGCGAAGGCAGUUCACUGGACUGCAACUGACACUGAGGCUCGAAAGUGUGGGUAUCAAACAGGAUUAGAUACCCCAGUAGUC